rnacentral:rRNA from 1 species
UACGAAGGGGGCUAGCGUUGCUCGGAAUUACUGGGCGUAAAGCGCACGUAGGCGGAUUGUUAAGUCGGGGGUGAAAUCCUGGAGCUCAACUCCAGAACUGCCUUCGAUACUGGCGAUCUCGAGUUCGGGAGAGGUGAGUGGAACUGCGAGUGUAGAGGUGAAAUUCGUAGAUAUCGGGAGGAACACCAGUGGCGAAGGCGGCUCUCUGGACAGGUACUGACGCUGAGACGCGAAAGCGUGGGUAGCAAACAGG